GUUUCUCCUUAAAGAACAAUUUGCCACACACAUACGCACAAAUCCAUAGAUAUCAGAUCCAGAUGGAGGAGAUAUCAGAGACGGCUAAAGCAUACUACGCAAACUUGUCAGAAAAGCAGAAGCGAUUAGCAACCGAUCUUUUCCGAUCAAUAGAUACGAAUGGAGAUGGAGAAAUCAGUUUCGAGGAAUAUCAGCAAUACCUUAAGCAGAAGGGCUUUAAAACAAUUGCUUCUCCCGACUUCUUUAGAAAGCUAGACCGGAACGGAAAUGGCAGCUUGGAUUUCGAUGAAUUCGUGACUGUGCACUACAUAUAUUCAAGCGAAAGAGUUUUUGUUUGUGAUGAGUGUAGAGCGUAUCUUGAUGGAGUUUACUUUACUUGCGUUCAAUGCUUCGAUGGUCCUGGUAAUACCUAUGAUCUUUGUUGUGGUUGUUAUCGAGAUAAAAAUAUCAAUCAUCAUAAGGAUGCUUUGUUCCUUGAUAAUUACACAUUGCUACAAGCCAAGAGGCAUCAGAAUAAAAAGGGUCAGGUAAUUAAAUUAGUAACAAUUAUCAGCAGUUUGAAAUUGAAUCUUGUUCAAAACAUCAAUAUAUAUGAGCUUCUUGGAAUUAGCUAUAAUUAUAAACAAGCUCUCUCUAUUCUCUUAAUUUUUUUCUUUGCAGGGCAAAAAUAGAGGAUCCUUAGAGGCCGCAAUUGCUGGUAUGGAAACUACAUCCAAUCUCAUCAACUUAUGCAGCCAAAUGUAACCCGGCAAGCCCUUCCGUCUCUUUUUUUGAGUAGUAUUUUUCAAUUUUAUUUAGAAAAAAAGUUGUCUUUAAAAUUUAAAGG
rnacentral:misc_RNA from 1 species